rnacentral:rRNA from 1 species
CCUACGGGAGGCAGCAGCCGCGGUAAUCCAGCAGCCGCGGUAAUACGUGCCAGCAGCCGCGGUAAUACGUGCCAGCAGCCGCGGUAAUACGUACGUGCCAGCAGCCGCGGUAAU